UAGCGAUGGUAUUUGAAGACACUAUAGUAAGAAAAGUGAUUGACCCACGCCUUACUCAAUAGAGUUUUCAUAACCUAAAGAGGAUAGCGUAUGCCCUUUGGGCUCUCUCUGUAAUUCCUCCUGACAGAAGCUAUGCAUAUUCCACAGAGAAGCUAAGUCACUAAGGGGAUUAAGCAGAAGGUUCUAGAAAGAGCCCAGUCUUCUCCACUCUGUGUGCUGAGGGACCUCUGGGGUUAAAGGUAAAGCUCUGAGGCAUCUUGGUUGGAAGGAGUACAUGAGAGAGUCAUCUCCUUGCAGCUGCAUCUCCUGCUCAAAGCUCCCAGGAAGCCAGCUGGGAACUGGACUAGGAAGUCAGCGGGGUGGAAGCUACUGGGUUACUUUGAGAGAGCUGACUAGGUCUCCAGGUGACGGAAUAGUGUAAAUACCUUCAAGUUUGUGUGAGGAACUUCAAGUGGGAUCAUGGGUAAUGAACAAGAGCUGGAACUGGGGGUUGGCUCAAUAAAUGAGUUUGAGAGAAGUGGGCAUCAUGUGCCCCUGCCCCCAAGGGCUGGGCUUUAGUUGUGUUCUCUGAUAUUUAUCCACUCGUUCAUAGACGCUCUUGCUAGGCAACAUGCCGAGGAUGCAGGUGAUUGCAGCGGGCAUUUUCCCCGGCCUUGAGUCCUCGUUUGGCAGAAACAAAAGCCAGCCCUGAUAGACAAUCUCAUGCCAAGCCUCCACCCCAGCUUUGAACGUUUGCAAACUGCACUCAGUUCAUUCUCUAAGAUGUCAUGAUUGGAUCUUUGGCAUGAAAUAGCGGUGGGAAUUAUGGCUUUGCAAAGCUGAACAGAGUGACGGGGAUGCUGUUUAGCCAUGGUUGCUCUUUCUGUUUCCCCUCUGCUCCGUCUUCUCUCCCCUGCUGCUUACUAGGCGUCUGUGAAGUGAGAGGCGCUGGGGUAACAAGACUUGAGCUGACUAUACCUGCGUGAAGAGCAGGUUGUAAUUGUCACUGGGAAGGACAGCAGAGGAUGGGAACCAACUUUAGAUCAAGAUGGUUGUGAUGGCUAUUCCUGGUUGUCAACCUGACAGCAUCUGGAAUGAACUACAAUCCAGAAGUGGAGGGCACAUCUGUGAACCAGAUCUUGAGGCAGAGUGGACAUGAAAAACUUAGGCCCAGGCAAGGGCCUCUGAUCCCAGGAGACAGAGGCAAGCAGAUCUCCGAAUUCAAGGCUGGUCUGGGACAGAGCAAAGUUCCACAUCUAAACAUGGUGUAACACCCCUUUAAUCCGUACCUUCUGCUGGAAGCUACAAAAGGACAAUGGAAGAAGGAAGUGUUUAUUCUUCACUUUGCUUGCACUCACUUGCCAGCCGGAACCUACCGGAACCUGCCGGAACCUGCCGGAACCUACUCCUUCAGGAUUCCAGCGUCUACGGAAGACCAGCGGAAACAACCAGCCUCGUGGGACUGAGCAACUGCUAGAUUCUUGGACUUCCCAUUCACAGCUGCCCAUCGUUGGGUGAGUUGAACUGCGGGCUGUAAGUCAUCACAAUAAAUUCCCUCAAUAUAUUAGAUAAUCCACACGUUCUGUGACUCUAGAGAACCCUGAUUAAGACAGUGGUCAACAGGGGCAUUUGCAGGAAGUGAGUUCAGACUGUGGAUGUUUAAUCUCGGCAGGAUGGAUGUUUUGGGACACAUGAUUCUUUGUUGCUGGGGACCAUCCUGGUCACUAAGGACCCUUAGCUGCGCCACUGCCUUCUGCCCACUAAUGCAAUAGCCCUACACCUGCUGUGACAAUCAAGGUUGGCUCCAGAUGCUACCAACUAUCCCUCGGAAGGCAAAGUUACUUCCAACUGAAAACCACUGGGGAGCCCAUCAAGUAGAGCGUACCGAGUUGUGUAGGUCGCAGUAACUUGUUUUCACUUUAGGUAGAUGUCAAAUAUUUUCAAGCAGGGGUGACAUUAUCUACUUUGCGUUUUGAAAAGAUCAUUCAGAUUGCAGAGCCAUGGCUGGAGUAAUGUCCACGCUCAUCGUGGUUAGGGGUGUUGUGGUCACUAAUGUCAAUUGUCAGCUUGACACAACUUUGAAUUACCUGGGAAGAGAGUCCCAACAAGGAAUUAUCUACAUUGGAUUGGCCCGUGGACAUUUCUGGGCGGGAUUGCUCCAACUGCACCAAUUGCUCUUGCAGAGGAUCCUGGUUCAAUUCUCCCCCACCCCCCAAAUGACAGUUUAUAGCUGUCCCUAACUCCCAUAACUCUAGACUUAGGGGAUCCAACGCCCUCCUUUGGCCUUCACUGGUACUGCAAGCACGUGGUGCCCAGACAUACAUACACAGCAUAAAGUGAAGCUAAAAAGUCUAGUCACAGCCCCUGGAGAGAUUGCGGGGUGGAAGGACAGUUACAACCUCAGGAAAGGAACAAGAUGGCUUAUUGAGUUGAAUAGCAUCUGGUCAUGGUCAUGGUGACCAGUGAAUCCUGACUGUGACCAAAGUUUGACAGUAACUAACAGGCAUUGGGGACAGGGACUGACGUGGUGUAGCAAGGGCCUUAAGUGUUAGAGGAAACUGUGUGAACAGCCAUGAAAACCUCUAACCAAGUAUUAGAGGCACGAGUAAAGCCCGUUUGUUGGUUUUUAAUUGCACAGAACAUGGCUGCCAGGAUUUUAAAUUGUAGGUCUGUGAGGGUGUAAUUAAGUGAGAGGCCCAGUUGGACCGACUGGGACACCAGGUUGUUGAUGGAGCUUGUGAGAACGGUCUUCUGAUAUUAAAAUUCAGGUUCUGAGCUAUCUGCGUCACUCACUCUAUUUGUAUGUUUUACCUCUAGCUAGCCCUCUAAGUCCCAAAUAUAAAUAACCAGCCCCCGCAGAGUACUUUUUCUGCUGUCCGUGUGAAAAGCCCUGUCUGAGGCUUGAUGGUGCUCGAAACUGAGAGGUUCGGUAGGACAUUUUCUUGAUGCCAAACACAGGUCCUUCAUCUCAGCUCCAUCAGGAGCCACCCCCAUCCGUCCUGUAAGUCUCUUCUGUAGAUGGAGGUGUGAAUGUAGUAACUGUGUUCUUCACUCUGUAAAAGGCCUGAGGACAACCUGGGAAUGGUGGUUUAGACUUGUAACCUCAGCACUGAGGAAACUGAGACAGGACAGAGAACUCAAGGCCAGCUCGAGCUACACAGUGGGUUUGAGAUCAGCCUGGCCUGCAUAGCAAGACCCUGACUAAAACAAGAAAACACAAGAUCGGGAGACUCAGCGUCUGGGUAGUGUUAGGAAACAAGAAACCCUAGGUGCCAGGCCCAUAGUCCUUUCUGGAAUAACCCCUAGGCUUCUUACUUGGCUCUAGCCCAGCUUCUUGUCUCCACACGUAUUACCCUCCCCACCCCCUGCCACACACACACAGAGUUCAACAGGACUUCCUUUCUGUCAGGCGUGUGACUCGGCCAUGCAUGUUUCAUGGAUUGGGAGGAGGGCCCUGUAGCCCAGGUAACCAACUGCUCUGUGAAAGGGCAGGUGACUGUUCACUGUUCGAGUCAUAGAGAAAGCAUUUUAACUUGGCAAAUAUACUUAGUGGACUAUAAUGGCCUGGAAGGGUUCUGCCUCUCCCCCAAAGUGAGCAAUUUCCUCCUUCAGCUCUGCCUUCACAGGCCCAUGACGUCAUAACGACCCUGUGCGUUUAUCUGUAAUUACCUGGAGUGGCAGCCAGCCCUUUCAAGAGGUUCUUUGGUCCAGUCCUAGAACACUCUCAAAGGUGGGUGGACAGAUGGAUGCCCUCUUCCCAGAGUACAGGAACCAAGGUAGACAGCCUUGGGGUACACAGCAGGUGGCAAAACUGACCUAAAAUGAAGAUCAAGUGUCUGCAGCCUUCUGGCCAUCUCCUGACCCUGAGUUCUGUCAAUUUGGGCUGUGCUGCUGCCCUAGCAGGUUGGGAAGUUUACAUGAAGGCCAGCGAAGGGAUUUGCCAGACUCAGCGGGAAAGAGAGAAACAGCUGGAUGAAGCCAAACAAUAUCCCUGCCCAGCUGUGGACUCCACGGACUGCUGUGAUGCACACCUUUCAAUAUUCGCCUGUCCCACCUUUUACCCUGCUCCCUUCUGCAUGGCAUGCUGUCUGACUCUACGGCUGCUGUCCUUCUGCCAACAGUAAAAAAUUAAUUCAUGUAAUCUAAA